AGUGAACGCUGGCGGCAGGCCUAAUACAUGCAAGUCGAACGGACGCACAGUAAGAGCUUGUUUCUGAGGGUGGCGAGGGACGGACGGGUGAGGAAUAGAUAGGCAUCCAAUUAUACGGGGGGGACAACGGGGGGAAAGAGAUGCUAAUAGAGAAUACGACGUACGGGAGAAAGCAGGGGAGAAAGGGAGCUUGGGAGACAGAAAGAGAUGAAGCCGCGUUGCAUUAGCUAGUUGGUAAGGGAACGGCUUACCAAGGCGACGAUGCAUAGCCGACCUGAGGGGGUGAUCGGCCACACUGGAACUGAGACACGGUCCAGACUCCUACGGGAGGCAGCAGUAGGGAAUCUUCCGCAAUGGGCGCAAGCCUGACCGAGCCACGCCGCGUGAGUGAUGAAGGCCUUCGGAUCGUAAAACUCUUUUAUUAGGAAAGAACAUCUGUGUAUGUAACUCUCGCUAUCUUGACGGUACCUAAUCAGUAAGCCACGGCUAACUACGUG
rnacentral:rRNA from 1 species